CAAUAGCGUAUAUUAAAGUUGUUGCAGUUAAAAAGCUCGUAGUUGAAUUUCUGGCGGGCGCGCCGGUCUUCCAAGUGUUGUACUGGGCGCAGUCCGCCAUCCUUGUGGAGAGGGCUCGCAUUGAGUUGCGUGUCGGAUCUGCAUCAUUUACUGUGAAAAAAUUAGAGUGUUUAAAGCAGGCUGUCGCUUGAAUACAUUAGCAUGGAAUAAUAAGAUAGGACUUCGGUCUAUUUUGUUGGUUGCGAACCGAGGUAAUGAUUAAUAGGGAUAGUUGGGGGUAUUCAUAUUUAAUUGUCAGAGGUGAAAUUCUUGGAUUUAUGAAAGAUGAACAACUGCGAAAGCAUUUACCAAGGAUGUUUUCGUUAA
rnacentral:rRNA from 1 species